UGGGACACACAUCCUAGCUUUCGUAGCAUCUGCGAAUAGUGCUAUCUAUCGAAACAGGAAAGGAUACAUAUCACAAAAUAUCCUGGCUGCUUGCAAGUUCGACAUGAAGUUCGUGUACGUGUUAGCGGGAUGGGAAGGUUCCGCAUCAGAUGCACGCUUUUUGCAAAGCGUCUUGACUCACUCAAGCGAUCCUUUCGUAAUACCCCAUGGUAAAUACUACGUAGUUGAUGCAGGAUAUGCGCACUCACCCGGUUUCAUGGCCCCAUAUCGCGGUGUACGUUACCAUCUCAAUGAGUAUCAUACCGAUUGAGGUAGACCGAAGUGGCUCCAUGUCACCGAAUAGACGAACCGUACUAUCUACUCCGACGAAAUAUCACCUGGGAU